AGAGUUUGAUCCUGGCUCAGGACGAACGCUGGCGGCGGACUUAACACAUGCAAGUCGAACGAACAGAUCGCCCAAACUUCGGUUAGGCGUAAUGUGAGUGGCGAACGGGUGAGUAACGCGUAGGCAACCUACCCUCGAGUGGGGGAUAACCAUUGGAAACGAUGGCUAAUACCGCAUAAAGUCCUAAUAGCACAUGCUAUCGGGAUGAAAACUCUGGUGCUCGAGGAUGGGCCUGCGAUGGAUUAGGAAGUUGGUGAGGUAACGGCUCACCAAUCCUGCGAUCCAUAGCUGGUCUGAGAGGAUGAUCAGCCACACUGGCACUGAGACACGGGCCAGACUCCUACGGGAGGCAGCAGUGAGGAAUAUUGGGCAAUGGGCGAAAGCCUGACCCAGUCACGCCGCGUGCAGGAUGACACCCCUAUGGGGCGUAAACUGCUUUUAUAUGGGAAGAACCCUCUCGAUUCGUCGGGAGCUGACGGUACCAUACGAAUAAGGACCGGCUAACUCCGUGCCAGCAGCCGCGGUAAUACGGAGGGUCCAAGCGUUGUCCGGAUUUAUUGGGUGUAAAGGGUGUGUAGGCGGGCUUGUAAGUCAGAGGUGAAAUCCUACGGCUCAACCGUAGAACUGCCUUUGAUACUGCAGGUCUUGAGUCCUGGAGAGGUUGCUAGAAUUCGUGGUGUAGCGGUGAAAUGCGUAGAUAUCACGAGGAAUACCGGUUACGAAGGUUGGCAGCUGGACAGGUACUGACGCUGAGGCACGAAAGCGUGGGGAGCAAACAGGAUUAGAUACCCUGGUAGUCCACGCCGUAAACGAUGAUCACUCGGUGUCGCGGAGUAAUCUGCGGUGCCUAAGCUAACGCAUUAAGUGAUCCACCUGGGGAGUACGAUCGCAAGGUUGAAACUCAAAGGAAUUGACGGGGGCCCGCACAAGCGGUGGAGCAUGUGGCUUAAUUCGAUGCAACGCGAGGAACCUUACCUGGGCUCGAACGCUACCGGACGGCCGCCCGAAAGGGGGCUUUUCUUCGGAACUGGUAGUGAGGUGCUGCAUGGCUGUCGUCAGUUCGUGUCGUGAGAUGUUGGGUUAAGUCCCGCAACGAACGCAACCCCUAUUGUUAGUUACCAGCGGGUUAAGCCGGGGACUCUAGCGAGACUGCCUGCGUAAGCAGUGAGGAAGGUGGGGACGACGUCAAGUCAUCAUGGCCCUUAUGCCCAGGGCUGCACACGUGCUACAAUGGUCGGUACAACGGGCAGCCACCCCGCGAGGGGGAGCUAAUCCAUAAAGCCGGCCUCAGUUCGGAUCGGAGUCUGCAACUCGACUCCGUGAAGUCGGAAUCGCUAGUAAUCGCGUAUCAGCAACGACGCGGUGAAUACGUUCCCGGGCCUUGUACACACCGCCCGUCAAGCCAUGGAAGCCGGGGGCACCCGAAGCCCGUGACCCAACUUCGGAGGGAGCGGUCGAAGGUGAAUCUGGUGACUGGGGCUAAGUCGUAACAAGGUAACC
rnacentral:rRNA from 1 species